GAUUAGUGGCGAACGGGUGAGUAACACGUGAGUAACCUGCCCUUGACUCUGGGAUAAGCCUGGGAAACUGGGUCUAAUACCGGAUAUGACUCCUCAUCGCAUGGUGGGGGGUGGAAAGCUUUUGCGGUUUUGGAUGGACUCGCGGCCUAUCAGCUUGUUGGUGAGGUAAUGGCUUACCAAGGCGACGACGGGUAGCCGGCCUGAGAGGGUGACCGGCCACACUGGGACUGAGACACGGCCCAGACUCCUACGGGAGGCAGCAGUGGGGAAUAUUGCACAAUGGGCGCAAGCCUGAUGCAGCGACGCCGCGUGAGGGAUGACGGCCUUCGGGUUGUAAACCUCUUUCAGUAGGGAAGAAGCGAAAGUGACGGUACCUGCAGAAGAAGCGCCGGCUAACUACGUGCCAGCAGCCGCGGUAAUACGUAGGGCGCAAGCGUUAUCCGGAAUUAUUGGGCGUAAAGAGCUCGUAGGCGGUUUGUCGCGUCUGCCGUGAAAGUCCGGGGCUCAACUCCGGAUCUGCGGUGGGUACGGGCAGACUAGAGUGAUGUAGGGGAGACUGGAAUUCCUGGUGUAGCGGUGAAAUGCGCAGAUAUCAGGAGGAACACCGAUGGCGAAGGCAGGUCUCUGGGCAUUAACUGACGCUGAGGAGCGAAAGCAUGGGGAGCGAACAGGAUUAGAUACCCUGGUAGUCCAUGCCGUAAACGUUGGGCACUAGGUGUGGGG
rnacentral:rRNA from 1 species